UGUAUUUUUGCUAAAUCCACCAAUAAAAGCACGUGACGGUGAAGGACCAGAUUUAUGAAUAAACGUUGACUAACAUAGAUAAUGAGUUAUAUUGUUAUUCUAAUGGAUUUCACAGCCAUCUUCCCUUCGAUAGGCUAUAUGAUUAAAGAAACUAGUGUUGCUGGACGUACAGUACAUGCAGCAAUGAUAUUUCGUUUCAUUGUUAGAAAUGCCAUGACGAGCCGUAGAAAAUUAGCCAAUUUCCAUCCAUUUGCAUGUUGCCAGCGAUUUCUAAAGAUACUAGUAUAUGAUUGCAAGAUAGUCGAAACGUUGAAUAAAAAAUGUAAACCGUUUUCAGAGUUUCCAGUGUUUUGUACUACACUAUGCAUCAUGCUUACGGGAUCUGUUGCAUCAUGUUUGUGGGGUCAAUUUGAU